rnacentral:rRNA from 1 species
AACGAACGCUGGCGGCAUGCCUAACACAUGCAAGUCGAACGAUUGCCUUCGGGUGAUAGUGGCGCACGGGUGCGUAACGCGUGGGAAUCUGCCCUUAGGUUCGGAAUAACAGCUGGAAACGGCUGCUAAUACCGGAUGAUAUCGCGAGAUCAAAGAUUUAUCGCCUGAGGAUGAGCCCGCGUUGGAUUAGGUAGUUGGUGGGGUAAAGGCCUACCAAGCCGACGAUCCAUAGCUGGUCUGAGAGGAUGAUCAGCCACACUGAGAGUGAGACAGGGCCCAGACACAGAAGGGAGGAAGAAGGGGGGAAUGUGGGACAAGGGGGGCAACGCGGAGACAGCAAUGCCGCGUGAGUGAAGAAGGACUUCGGGGUGGAAAGCGCUUUAGGGGGGGAAGAAAGCGCAUAGGCUAAUACCCUGUGUCGAUGACGGUACCGGAAGAAGAAGCAAAGGCUAAAUACGUG